CUCUGUUUCAAAGGAUUCAGGGCAAAAAGGAG
rnacentral:ncRNA from 1 species